rnacentral:lncRNA from 1 species
CUGCCCCAGCGAAUUAGGAAGAGGACUCCAUUGGGGUGAACAGCAUCAAAAAUGUGCAUCUCCUAAAGCCCGGGGUUUUAGGGGAAAGCUGCUUGGCUAGGUUGGAUGUGGGUUCCUAUUUUUGUUUUCAAAAUUGGCGGAAGGGGUAAUGCGGCGUGGUGGAAGGGUACCGGGGUUCUAGACUUGGCUCAGACGCUAACUUGUCCUGUGCCCCGGGGCAAACGCUGAGCUCCCCAUCUGUAAAACAAACCGAACCAGACGGUCGUUAACGCUCUUUUUUAACGCUCUUUCUGGGUCGAACAUUGGAUGUUCUAAGUCCCUUCCUGCUCUCACAUCCAACAUUCUAAGCUCCCUUCCCUCCUUCCAGUGUAGCCACGAAGCAGCCUAUGUAGCGGUCAGAGUGCUAGAGGACCUAGGUUUAAAUCCUCAUUCAGAUUUUACUACCUGGGACCACAGACAAUUUCCGAAGCUUUCAGAGCCUCAUCUGUAAAAUGGGGGUCACCUCCAACUUGAUUAUCCCAAGUCCCAGACAUAAAACCAUCUUCUUGCUUCAGUCAUCACCAUCAGCCAAAGACCUUCAGCCAAGUCCAGCAGUUGGCUCUUGCUUCCAACUGUUUCCCAGUCACAUUCCAAAUGGAAUCUUCAUUUGACUGACAUGAUCAAUCUCCAGCUUCUUGUCUUGCUGCAUGCAUGCCUCUUCCACAGCACUGUGCUAAGCUUCGGGGAUACAAGGAAGGCAAAAAAUACUCCCUCUCUUAAGCAGCCUCAUGAAGGAAACAAUAUGCAAAUGGAGUUAGAUGAUCUCUAA